AGAACCCCCGCCUUGCCCAUCAAGAAAGAAAAACCAAACCGUCAUCACCACCUCUCUCUCCAGACCCCGCCGCGCACCGCGCCAGCUCGUCGGCGGCGGAUCCGGCGGCUAGGGAGAGCCCCGUCGGCGGCAGAUCCGGCGGCUAGGGAGAGACCCGGCGGCGGCGGAUCCGGCGGCUAGGGAGAGACCCGGCGGCGGCGGAUCCGGCGGCUAGGGAGAGACCCGGCGGCGGCGGAGGGUCUACUCGUUGCCGCUCCAUCCUCGUCGUCGUCGGAUCCGGCGCCGAGGAAAACCCCGUCGGCGGAUACUCGUUGCCGCUCAACCGUCGUAGGUGGCGAGGAAGACGGCGCCGAAGAAGACGCCUCUUCGCUGGACAAUCAAGGACCCCGACCCCGUGGGCGAACGAAUCUGUUGCCUGACCUCGUCACCGGAGGACACUCGGUGCCGCUCCCCUGGACGAAGGCUUCGAACGUCCAACCUCCAGAGCAGCAAGGAAGGUCCUCUCGUCGCGGGAGGAUACUCGGUGCUGCUCGUCCAACCUCCAUUCUGAGGUAAUCCACCGCCAUUCUGUAUCCAUCUUCAGAUCUGAACAUAUGUCCUCACCUGCUCACCACACUACUUGAGGCUUGUAGUCUGUUGCAAGCACUUCGGAUCAGUAAACAGCUCUUCUCUCCAUCAGAAUCAAGAUGGGCCCAUCGCCCUUCAUGAGGUUUGGAAUGAUCGCUCGGAAGCUUUGCUCGUUGGUUGGAGGUUCCAAAACACCUCCUACUCGUCCUUAUGAGACUAUCAAAAUGACCCCGUUUCGCCGGCUGUCAACAUUACCAUAUUGGGAUUCUGUUCCACUUAACCACCGAAUGUAUGUCGUUCUAUAUUAAUGUGCAUCUACACUCUAUCUUGUAUAUUCACUUGCUUUUCAUUUGAUAACUAU